rnacentral:rRNA from 1 species
GACGAACGCUGGCGGCGUGCUUAACACAUGCAAGUCGAACGGAAAGGCCCUGCUUUUGUGGGGUGCUCGAGUGGCGAACGGGUGAGUAACACGUGAGUAACCUGCCCUUGACUUUGGGAUAACUUCAGGAAACUGGGGCUAAUACCGGAUAGGAGCUCCUGCUGCAUGGUGGGGGUUGGAAAGUUUCGGCGGUUGGGGAUGGACUCGCGGCUUAUCAGCUUGUUGGUGGGGUAGUGGCUUACCAAGGCUUUGACGGGUAGCCGGCCUGAGAGGGUGACCGGCCACAUUAGGACUGAGAUACGGCCCAGACUCCUACGGGAGGCAGCAGUGGGGAAUAUUGCACAAUGGGCGGAAGCCUGAUGCAGCAACGCCGCGUGCGGGAUGACUGCCUUCGGGUUGUAAACCGCUUUCGCCUGUGACGAAGCGUGAGUGACGGUAAUGGGUAAAGAAGCACCGGCUAACUACGUG